rnacentral:rRNA from 1 species
CCUACGGGAGGCAGCAGUGAGGAAUAUUGGUCAAUGGGCUUACGCCUGAACCAGCCAAGUCGCGUGAGGGAAGACUGCCCUAUGGGUUGUAAACCUCUUUUGUCAGGGAGCAACGCCGGCUACGUGUAGCCGGACUGAGAGUACCUGAAGAAAAAGCAUCCGCUAACUCCGUGCCAGCAGCCGCGGUAAUACGGAGGAUGCGAGCGUUAUCCGGAUUUAUUGGGUUUAAAGGGUGCGUAGGCGGAAUGCCAAGUCAGCGGUAAAAUCGCGGGGCUCAACCUCGCUCCGCCGUUGAAACUGGCGUUCUGGAGUGGGCGAGAGGUAAGCGGAAUGCGUGGUGUAGCGGUGAAAUGCAUAGAUAUCACGCAGAACUCCGAUUGCGAAGGCAGCAAACCGGCGCCCAACUGACGCUGAAGAACGAAAGCGUGGGUAUCGAACAGGAUUAGAUACCCUAGUAGUC